AAGCGGAGGAAAAGAAACCAACAGGGAUUGCCUCAGUAACGGCGAGUGAGCGGCAACAGCUCAAAUUUGAAAUCUGGGGCCUUUCGGCUUCCGAGUUGUAAUUUGCAGAGGGCGCCUCGGAGGGCGAGCCGGUCCAAGUGCCUUGGAACAGGAUACCGCAGAGGGUGAGAGUCCCGUAUCCGGCCGGCGUCGUGCUCUGUGUGAGGCCCCUUCGACGAGUCGAGUUGUUUGGGAAUGCAGCUCCAAGCGGGUGGUAAAUUCCAUCUAAAGCUAAAUACUGGCCAGAGACCGAUAGCGAACAAGUAGAGUGAUCGAAAGAUGAAAAGCACUUUGAAAAGAGAGUCAAACAGUACGUGAAAUUGUUGAAAGGGAAGCGCAUGGGGGCAGACUUGGUCGCGGGGUUCAGGGAGUCAUUGUGGCGCCUGUAGUUCCCCGCGGACAGGCCAGCAUCGGUUUCGUGGGCCGGACAAAGGCGCAGGGAAAGUGGCAGCCUUCGGGGUGUGUUAUAGCCCGGCGCGCAAUGCGGCCACGUGGGACCGAGGACCGCGCUCGGCAAGGAUGCUGGCGUAAUGGCCUCAUGCGGCCCGUCUUGAA
rnacentral:rRNA from 2 species